rnacentral:tRNA from 1 species
GGCGGCGUAGCUCAGUUGGUUAGAGCACACGGCUCAUAAUCGUGGGGUCGUCGGUUCGAGUCCGACCGCCGCUACUA